rnacentral:rRNA from 1 species
UGGGGAAUUUUCCGCAAUGGGCGAAAGCCUGACGGAGCAACGCCGCGUGAGGGACGAAGGCCUCUGGGCUGUAAACCUCUUUUCUCAAGGAAGAAGAUAUGACGGUACUUGAGGAAUAAGCCACGGCUAAUUCCGUGCCAGCAGCCGCGGUAAGACGGAGGAUGCAAGUGUUAUCCGGAAUCACUGGGCGUAAAGCGUCUGUAGGUGGUUUAGUAAGUCUAUUGUUAAAUCUUGAGGCUCAACUUCAAAUCAGCGAUGGAAACUGCUAGACUAGAGUGUGGUAGAGGUAAGAGGAAUUUCCAGUGGAGCGGUGAAAUGCGUAGAUAUUGGAAAGAACACCGAUGGCGAAGGCAUCUUACUGGGCCAUAACUGACACUCAGAGACGAAAGCUAGGGUAGCAAAAGGGAUUAGAUACCCCUGUAGUCA